AAGGGGAGCAAUCCCUGAGUAAAGUGGCGACCGGGUGAGUAACACGUGACUAACCUACCCUCGAGUGUGGAAUAACAUCGGGAAACCGAUGCUAAUACCGCAUAACAUCGCAAGAUCAAAGGAGCAAUCCGCUUGAGGAGGGGGUCGCGGCUGAUUAGCUAGUUGGCGGGGUAGCGGCCCACCAAGGCGAAGAUCGGUAGCCGGCCUGAGAGGGCGCACGGCCACACUGGAACUGAAACACGGUCCAGACUCCUACGGGAGGCAGCAGUGGGGAAUUUUGCGCAAUGGGGGAAACCCUGACGCAGCAACGCCGCGUGGAGGAUGAAGCCCCUUGGG
rnacentral:rRNA from 1 species